rnacentral:rRNA from 1 species
CCUACGGGUGGCUGCAGUGAGGAAUAUUGGUCAAUGGGCGCGAGCCUGAACCAGCCAAGUAGCGUGAAGGAUGACUGCCCUACGGGUUGUAAACUUCUUUUAUAAAGGAGUAAAGUGAGGCACGUGUGCCUUUUUGUAUGUACUUUAUUAAUAAGGAUCGGCUAACUCCGUGCCAGCAUCCGCGGUAAUACGGAGGAUCCGAGCGUUAUCCGGAUUUAUUGGGUGUAAAGGGAGCGUAGAUGGGUUGUUAAGUCAGUUGUGAAAGUUUGCGGCUCAACCGUAAAAUUGCAAUUGAUACUGGCAGCCUUGAGGAUAGUUGAGGUAGGCGGAAUUCGUGGUGUAGCGGUGAAAUGCUUAGAUAUCACGAAGAACACCGAUGGCGAAGGCAGACUACUAAACUGCCACUGACAUUGAGGCUCGAAAGUGUGGGUAUCAAACAGGAUUAGAUACCCCUGUAGUC